rnacentral:rRNA from 1 species
GAGGCCUGCCUGCCCAGUGACAAACGUUCAACGGCCGCGGUAUCCUGACCGUGCAAAGGUAGCAUAAUCACUUGUUCCUUAAUUGGGGACUGGAAUGAAUGGCCUCACGAGGAUUCAACUGUCUCUUACCUCUAAUCAGUGAAAUUGACCUCCCCGUGAAGAGGCGGGGAUACAACAACAAGACGAGAAGACCCUAUGGAGCUUUAAUUUUCUGUCUUAACUACUAAAUAACUAGCCCUACUGGGAUAAAAAAAAGAGAAAUAAGUCAGUAAUUUCGGUUGGGGUGACCUCGGAGAAUAAGACAACCUCCGAAUGAUUUUAACCAAGACAAACAAGUCAAAGUAUUAAAAAUCAAAUUGACCCAAUUCAUUUGAUCAACGGACCAAGUUACCCUAGGGAUAACAGCGCAAUCCUAUUCAAGAGUCCAUAUCGACAAUUAGGGUUUACGACCUCGAUGUUGGAUCAGGACAUCCCAAUGGUGCAGCAGCUAUUAAUGGUUCGUUUGUUCAACGAUUAAAGUCCUACGUGAUCUG